rnacentral:rRNA from 1 species
CCUACGGGGUGCUGCAGUGGGGAAUAUUGGACAAUGGGCGAAAGCCUGAUCCAGCCAUGCCGCGUGUGUGAAGAAGGCCUUCGGGUUGUAAAGCACUUUCAGUGGGGAAGAAAGCCUUGGGGCUAAUACCCUCGAGGAAGGACAUCACCCACAGAAGAAGCACCGGCUAACUCCGUGCCAGCAGCCGCGGUAAUACGGAGGGUGCGAGCGUUAAUCGGAAUUACUGGGCGUAAAGCGCGCGUAGGCGGUCUGAUAAGCCGGUUGUGAAAGCCCCGGGCUCAACCUGGGAACGGCAUCCGGAACUGUCAGGCUAGAGUGCAGGAGAGGAAGGUAGAAUUCCCGGUGUAGCGGUGAAAUGCGUAGAGAUCGGGAGGAAUACCAGUGGCGAAGGCGGCCUUCUGGACUGACACUGACGCUGAGGUGCGAAAGCGUGGGUAGCAAACAGGAUUAGAUACCAGAGUAGUC